rnacentral:rRNA from 1 species
GACGAACGCUGGCGGCGUGCUUAACACAUGCAAGUCGCACGGAAAGGCCUUGCUAUUGUGGGGUGCUCGAGUUGCGAAAGGGUGAGUAACCUGUGAGUAACUUGCCCUCGACUUUGGGAUAACUUCAGGAAACUGGCGUUCAUACCGCAUAGGAACUCCUGCUCAAUGGCGGGGGUAGGAUAGUCUCGGCGGUUGGGGAUGGACUCGCGGCUUUUCAGCUUGUUGGUGGGGUAGUGGCUUACCAAGGCUUUGACGGGUAGCCGGCCUGCGAGGGGGACCGGCCACAUUGGGACUGAGAUACGGCCCAGACUCCUACGGGAGGCAGCAGUGGGGAAUAUUGCACAAUGGGCGGAAGCCUGAUGCAGCAACGCCGCGUGCGGGAUGACGGCCUUCGGGUUGUAAACCGCUUUCGCCUGUGACGAAGCGUGAGUGACGGUAAUGGGUAAAGAAGCACCGGCUAACUACGUG